rnacentral:rRNA from 1 species
AGAGUUUGAUCCUGGCUCAGAACGAACGCUGGCGGCAUGCCUAACACAUGCAAGUCGAACGAGACCUUCGGGUCUAGUGGCGCACGGGUGCGUAACGCGUGGGAAUCUGCCCUUGGGUUCGGAAUAACAGCUAGAAAUGGCUGCUAAUACCGAAUAAUGACGUAAGUCCAAAGAUUUAUCGCCCAAGAAUGAGCCCGCGUAGGAUUAGCUAGUUGGUGAGGUAAAAGCUCACCAAGGCGACGAUCCUUAGCUGGUCUGAGAGGAUGAUCAGCCACACUGGGACUGAGACACGGCCCAGACUCCUACGGGAGGCAGCAGUGGGGAAUAUUGGACAAUGGGCGAAAGCCUGAUCCAGCAA